AAAGCGCUGUCAGUUCAUUCUGACAUUAGAACGAGCGGAGUGUCUGUCUCGCGCUGAGGAAAUCUCUAUCGAGAUAUAACGGUGGAAUAAAUCAAUGGGAGUUCAAAAACGCCUGCUUUUGGAAACGGCGACGAGAGUUUGUCAAAGGCAAAGUUGUACUGACUGCUCUUGGAGUUCACAUCCGCUAAAACGACAGAUGAGUCUCUAGAUGAGCUUCCUGUGGUACGGCAUGGAAGACCACACCGGUUGGUCUUUCCUGUAGGAUGGUGGCGCACAGUUCAGUGGAAGGGAAUCAAGGCACAGAAGAACCCCAAGCGAGGACAGAAGCCUCCCCAAAGUUCUCCCAAUCCCAAACACCCAGGCCAGGCCAACUGGCAGCGGUUAUCCAGACACAUUUCAGGCCCUUCAACUAUGCCAGGGACUUCAAGACCAUCGCGAAGACCAGACUCAUUGCAUUAAAGCGCUGCUGGAAUAUUCUGGAGAUACUUGAUGGACUCCUCGUGGUCCUGCUCUGUUUUAGGAUGCAGGAAUCAUACUGUAGCACAUUCUGGAAUAUCAGUCUUGAACACUGCACAAUGAAAGUUUACAUUGUUUGUGAAUGUUUACACUAUACGGGAAUAUUUUGUUCCUUCGAUUAUAUUUCUGUUAUGCAGAAAGAUUUAUUUUUAAAGAUAAUACUUUUUAUAAAAAUAAUAAAUGUAUUUGUAAACAACUU
ensembl:lncRNA